rnacentral:piRNA from 1 species
GUCUCUGUUAGCUCACUUCUUUUCACGC